GACGGACCACACAAACGUUAUUCGGAAUUACUGGGCUUAAAGGGUGCGUAGGCUGUGCAGUAAGUUGGGUGUGAAAUCCCUCGGCUUAACCGAGGAAUUGCGCCCAAAACUACUGUGCUUGAGGAAGACAGAGGUAAGCGGAACUUAGGGUGGAGCGGUGAAAUGCGUUGAUAUCCUAAGGAACACCGGUGGCGAAAGCGGCUUACUGGGUCUUUUCUGACGCUGAGGCACGAAAGCUAGGGUAGCGAACGGG
rnacentral:rRNA from 1 species